GAAUCUGUAAGUCUCAAUUGGUUAGAGCACCCGGCUCAUAACUGGGCGGUUGCUGGUUCGAAUCCAGCCAGAUUCA